GACGAACGCUGGCGGCGUGCUUAACACAUGCAAGUCGAACGGAAAGGCCCUGCUUUUGUGGGGUGCUCUAGUGGCGAACGGGUGAGUAACCCGUGAGUAACCUGCCCUUGACUUUGGGAUUACUUCCGGAAACUGGGGCUAAUACCGGAUAGGAGCUCCUGCUGCAUGGUGGGGGUUGGAAAGUUUCGGCGGUUGGGGAUGGACUCGCGGCUUAUCAGCUUGUUGGUGGGGUAGUGGCUUACCAAGGCUUUGACGGGUAGCCGGCCUGAGAGGGUGACCGGCCACAGUGGGAAUGAGAGACGGCCCAGACUGCUACGGGAGGCAGAAGUGGGGAAUAUUGCACAAUGGGCGGAAGCCUGAGGCAGAAACGCCGCGUGCGGGAGGACGGCCUUCGGGUUGUAAACCGCGUUCGCCUGUGACGAAGCGUGAGUGACGGUAAUGGGUAAAGAAGCACCGGCUAACUACGUG
rnacentral:rRNA from 1 species